UUUUCGUAAAAUUUUAUAUACGGAUAUAUAAGAUAUUUUUUAAAGAAUAAAAUUUCAAGAUACAAUAUUUUACAAGUACAUAUAUGCAAUAAAAAGUUCAAUUUGAGUUGUUUUCUUUGUAAGUUCAAAAAUCUUCUCUUCAUUUAGUAUUUCCCAAAGUAAUUUUACUUGCUUUUCUUUUGUUGAAUUUUUUUCUCCUUCUAAAAUGAGUAAAAACUGCCCUCUGAAAAGUCAUGAAUCAUUACAGAGAGACUUAGCUGGUAUGAGAGAGAUAGUUGGUAGUUUCUAGGUGUGGAUUUCGGCAGCUUCCCGGGAUGUGCUUCCAGCUCUCUGAGUUCAUGGCUCCGGCUCAGCAGCUUCUGAACCUGUCACAAAGAACGGUACGCACACUUGAAUCUAUUUGAUCAUGGAGGAAAAAUAAGCCAUUUUCAAGUAAAUGUAAGAGUGUGAACUGUUAAAAAUCCCUUUUUUUCAUACAUUUUGCUGCUUCUGCUAUCUCCAUCCAUGUGAUUCAUAUGUUCAUCGUGAUGGACCCAUGGAGCCCCGUCUCCCUCAAACACAGCCUCUCGAUUGACUGGUUGGCAGUAGGCUUAGUUGUGAAGAAGAGAAAGAGGUCACAGCUAGGGUUUAUGCUGCCCUCUUCUUCGUUCCGAUGUACUGGGUUUUCAUGGGAGAUGAGAGUUGGGUUUAAUCUCUGUCCCUAGGUUUUUAAGGGAGAUAAAGAGUUGGGUUUAAUUUAUGUUUGGGCUGGCCUUAACCUCGGCCCAACCUGAUGGGCCUAGUCUGAACUUCAUGUCUCUCCUUACCAAUGUUAUAAGUAUAAUAUUUAU
rnacentral:lncRNA from 1 species